GAAAUUCGUAUUCUUUCACACAAAGUAAGUCAAAGUCAUGUAUGUGUCUCUAGUAUGAGAAAACAACUACAUAUGCCCAGUCAUAUAGUCAUGUGUCUUAUUAUCACAAUUCAAAAAUCAUCACGCCGAUCAAUUGAGAAAAUCAAUCGAAACUUUUCAUCACUUACUACCUUGCAUAUGCAAUGGUAAUAUCGAUUUCUCAUUUUGUUCUUAAAAAAAUAAAAAUAAAAAUAAAUAAAAAGUAAAAAUAAAUUAUGCUUCAUACUAACAUAAAGCUUAUCAUAACUGCAUUCAUCGAUUUAUCGAGCAUUCAAAAUCUUAUGCUUAAUCCAAU
rnacentral:lncRNA from 1 species